GAAGCAGCAGAACGAUUCACAGACAACGCAGCAGAACGAUUUGCAGACAACAUAGCAAACACAGCCACAAGCAAUUCCACCAUUCUGUCCAUGACUUCUUCAAGAUUAUCUUAUCCACUGAACUAAAAAUAUUUUGAGCACGAAAGACCAGAUCAUCAAAUAUAUUAAAUAAGCUGAUGUGUCAUAUCAGACCCUAAGAUGGCUGCAGUAGCACAAUUAGCAUCCACAAUUAGGGGUGGUCUUAGCAAAUCUGUAUUUUUCUGCACUUUUCCAGCAAACCUUUUGUUGAUUCCAUUGGAGAUUUUGGCAGAUCACAAAUUUUCAUGUCCAUGUGAUUCUCAGAUGAAUACACCCCUAACAGGCCUAAUAUUCAGUGCUCCGGCGAUUUUUCUUUUAGCUUUAAUGCUUCUCUACUAUUGGCAUGUUAAAUAUGUUAAGAAAGAGAAACAAAAAACUCCUAUAAAUUUACUCCUAGGCACGUUUCCGCCUAUUCUUUGGAUCAUUCUUUUGCUCAUUGAUGGGGAAUAUGUUGCCUGUAGUAAAACAGACUGGAAAGGAGAGUAUGUGUUUGAUGACAAACUAAAAAUAAAAUGGUGUAAACCUACCGAAAUGAUCCCUGGAAGAAAUGAGACUACACUACAAAAACAGACUCUCGGCUAUAUCAAUCACUCACAGCGUGAUGGUUUUAUUGUGCUUCUGUCCUAUAGCGUUUUGAUUAUUGUUGUGGUCAGUUUUACCUGCUGUUUGAACGCGAAAGAGCCAGAGGAACUGUCUCAGGAAGAAGAUCAUCUUUAACAGUAAAAUUACACUGUCAAACUUCAUAAUAACAUUUAAAAUACAUGGACUGAGGUUUAAGGACAAAGAAUUAGUCAUUUAAUCAUCCUCAAGUCAUUCCAAACCUGUAUGUCUUUUAAGUGAAUUGUGUUCACAUAAUGUGAUAAAAAUACAAAAUUAUUUUCUUUCUUUCCUUUUUCUUGAGAUAACUCCUUGAUGGCUGAAUGCUUUUAUAACCAGCAGAAAUAUAUUGCUUUGGUGUUUAGAAAUAGUUAGAUUUUGAAACUUGUUUCCAACACAACUUUAUUAGAAAAGAAGAAAAUGAUUGAAGAGUGCAUUAUGGAUGGAUGGAAGCAUGAAUCUUAUAAAAUCCUUCCUAAUUUUUGAAUGCUUGACUGACUGUAACUUUCAGUUAAGGUUUUGUCAAACCAAGGUUUGUCUUGACCCUUGUGUUGAAAACCCUGUAGUACAUUUGGUGUUCCUGAUCAAAAAUGACCAGCCUUUAAAAAUUGCUUGUAAAUCGCUUGCAAUGCUGUAUUAUCACCAAAUAUUGUAUUCAAUCGUUCUUGUCAGCUUGUUUUCUUUCACUUAGCACAUGUUUUGUAUUUCUUUUUGUAAUGGAUUGAUCCUAGGCCUGAUUAAUCUGAGUUUAUUCACCUCAGUUUUUGAGUGAAAAUAAAGCAUUAUUUGUGGAUAAUUGUCAAUAUUAAAUAAAAUAUGAAAAAAGGCACUGUUUAUCACACUAGUGUGCUUUAAUGUUUAACCAGAAAGUUUGUUUUCAAAUGCUUUUAUUUUGUACAAAAUGCAAUGAAAUCACACUUAUGUUCCCUGUCAAAAAUGACCAGCCUACAAAAAAUAGCUUAUAAAUCUCUAAUUAUGCUAUAUUUUCACCAAAUAUUGGAUUCAACCUUGUUGUCAGCUUGUUUUCUUUCAAUUAGGACAGGUUUUGUGUUUAUUUUUGAAAGUGGUUUAUCGUAGGCCUCAUUGAU